UUAAGUAGUAGUGUCGUAGAUGA
rnacentral:miRNA from 1 species